rnacentral:rRNA from 1 species
GAUGAACGCUGGCGGCGUGCCUAAUACAUGCGAGUCGAGCGAACAGACGAGGAGCUUGCUCCUCUGACGUUAGCGGCGGACGGGUGAGUAACACGUGGAUAACCUACUUCUAAGACUGGGAUAACUUCGGGAAACCGGAGAUAAUACCGGAUAAUAUAUUGUACCGCAUGGUUCAAUAGUGAAACACGGUUUUGCUGUCACUUAUAGAUGGAUCCGCGCCGCAUUAGCUAGUUGGUAAGGUAACGGCUUACCAAGGCAACGAUGCGUAGCCGACCUGAGAGGGUGAUCAGCCACACUGGAACUGAGACACGGUCCAGACUCCUACGGGAGGCAGCAGUAGGGAAUCUUCCGCAAUGGGCGAAAGCCUGACGGAGCAACGCCGCGUGAGUGAUGAAGGUCUUCGGAUCGUAAAACUCUGUUAUUAGGGAAGAACAAAUGUGUAAGUAACUAUGCACGUCUUGACGGUACCUAAUCAGAAAGCCACGGCUAACUUCGUG